GAUGAACGCUGGCGGCGUGCCUAAUACAUGCAAGUCGAGCGAACAGACGAGGAGCUUGCUCCUCUGACGUUAGCGGCGGACGGGUGAGUAACACGUGGAUAACCUACCUAUAAGACUGGGAUAACUUCGGGAAACCGGAGCUAAUACCGGAUAAUAUAUUGAACCGCAUGGUUCAAUAGUGAAAGACGGUUUUGCUGUCACUUAUAGAUGGAUCCGCGCCGCAUUAGCUAGUUGGUAAGGUAACGGCUUACCAAGGCAACGAUGCGUAGCCGACCUGAGAGGGUGAUCGGCCACACUGGAACUGAGACACGGUCCAGACUCCUACGGGAGGCAGCAGUAGGAAAUCUUCCGCAAUGGGCGAAAGCCUGACGGAGCAACGCCGCGUGAGUGAUGAAGGUCUGCGGAUCGUAAAACUCUGUUAUUAGGGAAGAACAAAUGUGUAAGUAACUAUGCACGUCUUGACGGUACCUAAUCAGAAAGCCACGGCUAACUACGUG
rnacentral:rRNA from 1 species